rnacentral:rRNA from 1 species
CUACGGGGGGCUGCAGUAAGGAAUCUUCCGCAAUGGGCGAAAGCCUGACGGAGCGACACCGCGUGGUGGAUGAAGGCCCAUGGGUCGUAAACACCUUUUCUAAGGGAAGAAGAUCUGACGGUACCUUAGGAAUAAGCCCCGGCUAAUUACGUGCCAGCAGCCGCGGUAAUACGUAAGGGGCAAGCGUUACCCGGAAUUAUUGGGCGUAAAGCGUCUGCAGGUGGAGGUGAAAGUCAGUUAUUAAAUACCGGAGCUCAACUUCGGUGCCGUAAUUGAAACUUCAUUUCUAGAGGGUGGGAGAGGUAUGCGGAAUUGUGCAAGUAGGGGUAAAAUCCGUAGAUAUGCACAGGAACACCAAAAGCGAAGGCAGCAUACUGGACCAUUCCUGACACUCAGAGACGAAAGCGUAGGUAGCAAAACGGAUUAGAUACCCGGGUAGUC